GAUUCUUACCUCUCCUGCUAACGCAAUCCCUUCGACCCUGCCCUCCUCGCGAACCUGGACGUGAUCCUCCCGACGCGUGCCCUCAUCUCGUCCUCGCGCCGCCGUCCUCUCCUAGUCCGACCUUGACCUCAUUCCUUCGAUUCCGGCGACUCCUCUGUGCCCCUGGCCUGGCCGACGCCGUCACAUCCGACGCCGAGGAGCCGGCCUGAUAGGCUUGAACCAUCCCUUGAUCCCUCGAGUCUUCUGCAUCCCUCGAUGUCUCGAUCCCUUGUCUUCUCCAUCUCUCGAUCCCUCACAUCCUUGCUGCUACGAAGAGAACGGUUCCCUUUCUACAUGGUCUGGCGUGAAAGAGCUCGAGCAAGGAGGGCGUGUGCGGCCACCUCGCGCUUCGGCGAGAUCCUCGAGGCUGUCAUCGCAGACAAGGGCACUGGAAGAUCCAAGGGCGGCGGAUUCAUGAGUACCGCCCAAACAAUUCUCUCCUCCCCUCAUCAUCGCUUGAUCUCCCCGUAGUUAAUAUUCUUGCUUAAUUCAACCCCAUUAGUUGAUGCUUGGCAUGUUACGUUCCAGGAGGCGGAGGCUGCCAUUAGGGCGUGCUUGGGCCGGUACCCGGUGAUUGACGGUCGGAGGGCCUACUGCAACCUCGCCUGCCUCAGGGUCCAGAUGUCCAAGGCGCCACAACCAACUGCCUCUGCAUCCAUAUGCUGGGUGUCCAUGUUGGACGGAGACUUUCUCGUAGCCGAUGGUUGCCCUUCAAGCACCAACAAAUUAGAAAUUCCAAGCCCUGCUGAGAUUACGAGCUGGGUGGAAAGGGAAUCAACACCAUCACGCCAAAACAUUGAAGGAGCAAUCCAAGAGCUAAAAACUACAGUGAUCUCACUAUCCAUCAACAAUUGUUAUUUUUCUCUAUCUACGUCCUAAUCAGGCCCUAGAGCUUGAACCUUCUUCAGCAAAUAAGGGUCACCAAGUUCUUAUAGUCAGUCACUGGACCACAACGCUUGAUAUCCUUCAAUGGACACUGGAAGUAAUAUGAGCUACAGAUAUGCGUCCCAAUGGGGGGUUAUUUAUUUCCUCAACAAGGUACAGUACAGUAGGACAGGUAAAGUGAACACACAACUUGAUUCUAUGGUUCUUAGAAUGUCACUGUACUAUGUUUUAGGCUAAGCAGAAGCAGCGUUGGCCAUGAAGAACAUCAGUUUAUCUUUAAGAUAUCUCUGAAAUUUUGGAGAGUCUGAUGUGUUACGAAUUAUUGUUGUAUAUAAGGAGAAUAGUAGGAGAAGAUCUGCACUUGUGUAUGUGUGCAAGUUACAGUACAGUAGGAAUGGUAAAGUGAACACACAACUUUUUUGGAGGGAAAGGUCAUAAUGGCUAGCUUUAUUAACUCAAACAAGAAUUACAUCGUUCACUAAUUGGCUGAUCAGAAACCAUGGGGGUUCAUCAGUCCAAUUUUCAUUACAUUUAUUAUAAAAACUAAACUUUGCUAGCUCAUGAGCUACUGAAUUAGCAUAACGAAAACAGUGUGAAAAGAUGAUCUUCCUUUCGAUGUUGCCGUAUCAAUACAUCCUGCAAAGAUUGCCGUUGUUGCAUCCCACCACUGUGCUUGUCCCUGGCAAUUGUUAACAACACUCAAGAAAUCAGAUUAUGCUUCAGUUCUAUUAAAUCCCAAAGUAUUUGCUAGAUUUAACCCAUCACAACUUGAUUUUAUGGUUAUUACAACGUAACCGUAAUAUGUUUCAGGCUAAGCAGAAGUAGCGUUGGCAUUGAAGAACAUCAAUUUAUCUUAACGAUAUCUCUGAAAUUUUGGAGAGUCUGAUAUGUUACGAAUUAUUUUUGUAUAUAAGGAGAAUAGUAGGAGAAGAUCUGCAGUUGUGUAUGUAUAAGCUUUACUGACGUAGUUUUUUGUUCUUGCAAGAUCCUAACCGUUUACCCAUUUGCUACCUAGAUUCACUUACUGAUUGUAAAUUGCUUAACUUCUUGCACAUAAAAAGACAAUAGGCUUGGAUUUGUGAAACAACUAUAUUUUUCUGUACAAUGGUGAAAGAGCUACAUUGCUAUAUCGCUCUCUAAUUCAAUUUCUUCAAUUCCAUAUGGACAUAGGAAACUUGAAUACUACACCACAACUCUUAGGCCUGCCAAACUAUAAGGAUGAUCACGUGGUCAUGAGCGGAACCGGAUGUACCCCGUAAGAAAUUUUAUCUAAUUCUGAUCUCGAGCUCAUGGAUAAUCCACCUGAUGGAGUCAAAGACAAACAUCCUAGCCCAAUCCCCAUCAUGCACACGGAUCAAUGUGAAUUACUUCCUGGCCACCGCAACUACAUCAUGUCGAUCGAUGAUGCAAGUGUUUGGAGUAUCAUUUAUCAAUAUGUAAUGUGCCAGUAUACAUUAUUUUUAUUCUUACCACCCAAUUUUCAGGAAGGAAUGGGUCCGAAGCUCGACACCUCGUCCAAUGGUCUUAAGUCUCAAAAAACUUCAGGGCAUACUUAACAUGGAGCAGUCUAUGGACAAUGAUUGUUUCAACAUUGUCGUGCAUAUACUGGCAUGUGACGAGGGAGUAUUGUUCGCAGACCCUCCUAUACACUACAUGGAUUUACAAUUUUGUGUAAAUUAUCAAAAUUCUUCAUUCAAUAUCAUUAGUAUCAACAUGUUUCUAAAUAGUUUUUUACUCAGUCCAUGAUGCUGGAUUCAACACGAGAUCAAAAGUUCUGCGAUAAGGAAACUAUUCAGAAAUUGGCAACUUUGUUUGAUAGCUGGCUUGGGAUAGACAACAACAUCUCAUCGGGCAACAUGGUAAGUAAGGUCUUUUGUCUAUUGUUUAUCAUGGUUUAUGUUGUCUGUAAUAGCUACCACUUAUAGAUUUAUCUUCCAUAUGAAUCCAUCGGUCGAUACAUCUUGUACGUCAUCGACAAAGAGGCACGUCGUGUAUCUAUUCUGGACCCUAUUCAUACAACACAAUCGUCAGAGAUGAAAAUUCUGAGGUACUUAGUGAAAUUAAAAAGUUUUGCAAGGGAAUUCAAAGAAGCACUCGAAAUAAAGCAACCAGGAUGAAAUUUUGAUAUAUCCAAAUGGCAACGUUUAUUUGUUAAUGGCAUUCCAACGAGCGUAGAUGGGUAAUAAAUUUAGAAUAUAAACAUUUAUUUUUGUUAUCACAAUAUUUAAUGUAAUAACAAUUUAGGAAAUUGCAAGGAUUUGCCAGGCUAUUUUGUCUUUCAUUUUAUGCUAUUGUGGAACUGUAAAGACCUGGCGAAGCUGGUUUGUGUGGUGUGUAUUGUGCGUUACACAUGUUUUUAAACCUUCCACGUGAAGUAUUCGUGCUAGAUAUAUAUAUUGCUUUUGCAGGAUGGGUAUGAGUUGAGGAAGCAGUUUUUAUAUACUUGCUCAAACAUCGUGCGAAUGAAGCUAAAGACAACUUGCCUGAUAUUGUGAAGGAAUUUCUGAAGCGCAUCAAGUAGAUCUCAAUACUUUGUAAUAGAUUUUUAGUUGGAUCAUCACUUUAUACAUAUACAUUGUUAAUAUGCUAUUUUGUGAUCACUUUACAUUACAAGUGAAGUGGACUUCAAUUAUUAUGCAAUUGUGAACCUCUUA